GUCCCUGUAGCGCAAUGGGUAGCGCGUUGGAUUUCUAAUCUAUAGGUCGGGAGUUCGAAUCCCCCCUGGGAUG
rnacentral:tRNA from 1 species